rnacentral:ncRNA from 2 species
CUAGUAUCCUGGGGGAGUCGGUUAACCGACUGAGAGGAAGCUUGAGGCUGCUUCGACCCCUAGAACCUGAUCCGGGUCAUGCCGGCGUAGGGAAGGUACUAGCUUUAAUC